AUGGUGGGACGCUCCUGGAUUCCGGGUGUCCCACGAGUGAGUGGCAUGGAAACGAGUGACAAUACGGACACGAUGCAGACAAAGGGUGCAUCUCAUCCAACAUGCAUUCAUUCAUUCACGGGCGUCGUCUCGGGGUUAUACCUUCGAGGUGGCCUUGAUGCAUCCAUUCAUACAGUACUUGGUGUUUCGUGUAACUGGCGGCCUUUCGACCUUGAGGGAGAAGAAACAACACGCCCACAGCGCCCAGUGGGGAUGGUCCUGCAGCAACAGGAGGUCGAUGGCUGA
rnacentral:rRNA from 1 species